UGUCAAGGGAUGGGAUUCGAACCCACGACCUUCCGCUUACUGGGCAGAUGCCAUGACCACUAGGCUACCCUGGAC
rnacentral:tRNA from 1 species